GUCCAGGUAGCUCAGUUGGUAGAGCACGAGACUCUUAAUUUCAGCUUGUGGGUUCGAGCCGCACGUUGGGCC
rnacentral:tRNA from 1 species